GAUGAACGCUGGCGGCGUGCCUAAUACAUGCAAGUCGAGCGAAAAGACGAGGAGCUUGCGGCGCUCUCGUUAGCGGCGGGGGGGUGUGAAACACGUGGAACACCUACUUAUAAGACUGGGAUAUCUUGGGGAAAGCGGAGCUAAUACGGGAUAAUAUCUUGAACCGCAGGGUGGGAUAGAGAGAGACGGUGUUGGGGGCUCUAAUAGAGGGAUACGCGCUGGAUUAGCUAGUUGGUAAGGUAAAGGGUUACGACGGGAAGUAGGCGUAGGCGAGCUGAGAGGGUGAUAGGCCACCCGGGAACUUAGCCGCGGUCCAGACGCCUACGGGAGGCAGCAGUAGGGAAUCUUCCGCAGUGGGCGAAAGCCUGACGGAGCAACGCCACGUGAGUGAUGAAGGUCUUCGGAUCGUAAUGCUCUGUUAUUAGGGAAGAACAAAUGUGUAAGUAACUAUACACGUCUUGACGGUACCUAAUCAGAAAGCCCCGGCUAACUACGUG
rnacentral:rRNA from 1 species